UACGUAGGGGGCAAGCGUUAUCCGGAAUCAUUGGGCGUAAAGCGCGUGUAGGCGGUACUCUAAGUCCGGGGUGAAAUCCGGGGGCUUAACCCCCGAACGGCGCCGGAAACUGGAGCGCUUGAGUGUCGGAGAGGGGAGUGGAAUUCUCGGUGUAGCGGUGAAAUGCGUAGAGAUCGAGAGGAAAACCCGUGGCGAAGGCGGCUCCCUGGCCGAACACUGACGCUGAGACGCGAAAGCGUGGGGAGCGAACGGG
rnacentral:rRNA from 1 species